AUCAGUAUAUCGUUAUUUGAUAGUACCUUACUACUUGGAUAACCGUGGUAAUUCUAGAGCUAAUACAUGCUAAAAACCCCAACUUCGGGAGGGGUGUAUUUAUUAGAUAAAAAACCAAUGCCCUUCGGGGCUCCUUGGUGAUUCAUGAUAACUUCUCAGAUCGCAUGGCUUUACGCCGGCGACGGUUCAUUCAAAUUUCUGCCCUAUCAACUUUCGAUGGUAAGGUAGUGGCUUACCAUGGUUUCAACGGGUAACGGGGAAUUAGGGUUCGAUUCCGGAGAGGGAGCCGGAGGAACGGCUACCACAUCCAAGGAAGGCAGCAGGCGCGCAAAUUACCCAAUUCCGAUACGGAGAGGUAGUGACAAUAAAUACUGAUACAGGGCUCUUUUGGGUCUUGUAAUUGGAAUGAGUACAAUUUAAACCUCUUAACGAGGAACAAUUGGAGGGCAAGUCUGGUGCCAGCAGCCGCGGUAAUUCCAGCUCCAAUAGCGUAUAUUAAAGUUGUUGCAGUUAAAAAGCUCGUAGUUGAACCUUUGGCCUGGCUGGCAGGUCCGCCUCACCGCGUGCACUUGUCCGGCCGGGCCUUUUCUUCUGGAGAACCGCAUGCCCUUCACUGGGUGUGUUGGGGACCAGGACUUUUACUUUGAAAAAAUUAGAGUGUUCAAAGCAGGCCUUUGCUCGAAUACGUUAGCAUGGAAUAAUAGAAUAGGACGUGCGGUCCUAUUUUGUUGGUUUCUAGGACCGCCGUAAUGAUUAAUAGGGACAGUCGGGGGCAUCAGUAUUCAAUUGUCAGAGGUGAAAUUCUUGGAUUUAUUGAAGACUAACUACUGCGAAAGCAUUUGCCAAGGAUGUUUUCAUUAAUCAGUGAACGAAAGUUAGGGGAUCGAAGACGAUCAGAUACCGUCGUAGUCUUAACCAUAAACUAUGCCGACUAGGGAUCGGGCGGUGUUUCUAUUGUGACCCGCUCGGCACCUUACGAGAAAUCAAAGUGUUUGGGUUCUGGGGGGAGUAUGGUCGCAAGGCUGAAACUUAAAGAAAUUGACGGAAGGGCACCACCAGGCGU
rnacentral:rRNA from 1 species